rnacentral:rRNA from 1 species
GUGAGGAAUAUUGGUCAAUGGGCGAGAGCCUGAACCAGCCAAGUCGCGUGAAGGAUGAAGGUUUUAUGAAUUGUAAACUUCUUUUGCAGGGGAAUAAAGUACGGUACGUGUACCGUUUUGUAUGUACUCUGCGAAUAAGGAUCGGCUAACUCCGUGCCAGCAGCCGCGGUAAUACGGAGGAUCCAAGCGUUAUCCGGAUUUAUUGGGUUUAAAGGGUGCGCAGGCGGGUUGAUAAGUCAGCGGUGAAAGUUUGCAGCUUAACUGUAAAAUUGCCGUUGAAACUGUCGAUCUUGAGUGCAAAUGAGGUAAGCGGAAUGUGUUGUGUAGCGGUGAAAUGCUUAGAUAUAACACAGAACACCGAUUGCGAAGGCAGCUUACUGGGAUGCAACUGACGCUCAUGCACGAAAGCGUGGGGAUCAAACAGGAUUAGAUACCCUGGUAGUCC